rnacentral:rRNA from 1 species
AACGAACGCUGGCGGCAUGCCUAACACAUGCAAGUCGAACGAGACCUUCCGGUCUAGUGGCGCACGGGUGCGUAACGCGUGGUAACCUGCCCUUAGGUUCGGAAUAGCUCCCCGAAAGGGGUGCUAAUACCGGCUAAUAUCUUCUGCCCAAAGAUUUAUCGCCUUUGGAUGGGCCCGCGUUGGAUUAGCUAGUUGGUAGGGUAAAAGCCUAUCAAGGCGACGAUCCAUAGCUGGUCUGAGAGAAUGAUCAGCCACACUGGGACUGAGACACGGCCCAGAAUCCUACGGGAGGCAGCAGUGGGGAAUACAGGAAUACGGGCGAAAGCCUGAUCCAGUUAUGCCGGGUGAGUGAUGAAGUACUGAGGGUAGUAAAGCUCUUUUACCCGGGAUGAUAAUGACAGUACCGGGAGAAUAAGCACCGGCUAACUCCGUG